rnacentral:siRNA from 1 species
GUAUUUAGGUGUGUUUUGUU